rnacentral:rRNA from 1 species
AUACGGAGGAUCCGAGCGUUAUCCGGAUUUAUUGGGUUUAAAGGGUGCGCAGGCGGCCAUUUAAGUCAGCGGUUAAAUCGUGGGGCUCAACCCCAUUCUGCCGUUGAAACUGGGUGGCUUGAUUGCGGUCGAGGCUGGCGGAAUUCGUUGUGUAGCGGUGAAAUGCAUAGAUAUGACGAAGAACACCGAUUGCGUAGGCAGCUGACCAGACCGCAAAUGACGCUCAUGCACGAAAGUGCGGGGAUCGAACAGGAUUAGAUACCCUGGUAGUCCGCACAGUAAACGAUGAAUACUUGUUUUCGGCGAUAUAAUGUCGGAGGCAAAGCGAAAGCGAUAAGUAUUCCACCUGGGGAGUACGCCGGCAACGGUGAAACUCAAAUGAAUUGACGGGG